CAAAGUCACAAAGAUUUGGAUUAACAGUCUUGGUGUGAUACUGGACACUUGGUUCAUCAACGCCCUGCCCCUAGAGGCGUUGCAGGUGUGGCUGCUGUGUCACAUAUGUGUCAGUAGGUGGCAGAGAGGAGAGAGGCUAUGUCUAAGCUCUGUUCUGACCUGUGAACAUCUGAAUGACUUGUAGCCAGACAGCACUCCCUAAAGCUGGAAGUGGGAUUGUGCUUCCUUGUUGUUGAUUGGCUUAGGUCAUUUGAUGGCUCUGCAUACAUAAACCCAAUAGAGGGGCUGGUCUGUAAAGAGGAAGUUUCAGAUGAAUUGGUUUGUUGGAAAUCAUGAAAUCAGUAACCUCCAGGAAUCCUGGGGCGCGUGUUUCUCUUCUCACCAGCUUGGGUCAAGAGACUUUGAAAAAACAACAGUGGAUGGAAGCAGUGAUGGCGUCUGUCUUAGUCAGGGUUUUACUGCUAUGAAACACCAUUACCAAACAGCAAGUUGGGGAGGGAAGUGUUUAUUCCGCUCGCACUUACACAUUGCUGUCUAUUGCCAAAGGAAGUCAAGGCAAAACCUGGAGGCAGCUGAUGCAGAGGCCAUGAAAGGGAGCUACUUAUGUAUGAGUGCUCUACGUGCACUGCACACCAGGAAAAGCCGUCAGAGCCUCUUCUAGAAUUGAACUCAGCAGUCCGUGUUCUUAACCACUGAGCCAUCACGCCAACCCCAAAAAGAGGUUAGGCUUUGAGAUAGGGUUUUCUUAUGACCUUGGCUGUCCUCUAAUGCAAAGAUCUGCUCUACCACCAGUCCAGGGAUGGUACCAUCCACAAUGGGCUGGGUUAUCCCCACUGCUCACUAAUUAAGAAAAUGCCUCACGGUUGGAUCUCAUGGAAGCAUUUCCUAAGCAGAGUCUCAUGAUUCUAAUACAGCUCAAUGGUGCUCAGGCCUGAGUCUCCAUCCCUGGCACCACAGACAAGUGGAACUGAUAAUGGGAAGAGAAGUGGUUCAUCACGAAGCACCAUGAUUUCAGAAUAUGGGAGUAUGGUGGGACAGCUAACAGUGAUACCUUUAAAACACAAGGGUAAAGGGGCUCACUGCUGCUGUAGGCCUCCAGAGAUCUGGGGGUGCAACACUUGUGGAUUAGGAGGGUCUACAUUGAUUGUUUUCUUUGGUACAGGAAAGUUGAUGACUAAACUCUGCUUAUGAGGAAUGCCCAGUUGAGAUUCAGAAACCAAGAAGGGGGCCUACUUGGACAAGAUGGCUGUAUCAGGAUGGGUGCAGGUACGAUUUUAGACCAUGGGCCUGAGGUAUGCCCUCUGACCUCACCAGGGUCCUACAGACCCACCCAUACAGGCUUUGGGCAGCUCUAAAUUUACCCUGGUGACUAGCCCGUGUCCUAAAUUAUCAACUGGAUUGGGUUGGCUUGGGUUUGACUCUAUUUCUAAGACUAGUGAAGCGAGAUCUGUGGUAGUGGCACUAGGGAUGGGGGACCCUCUAAGACUCAACAUCAACAUCUCUAACUGUACUGUACAUGGCCUUAAAAGAGAAUUAUGAGUUGGGUGGUGAUAGCUGAUCCUUUGAGUUCAAGGCCAGCCUGGUCUGCAAAGCAAGUUCCAGGAUAGCCAGAACUACUACAAGAAGAAACUCUGUCUUGAAAAACAUUUUUAAAAGGAGAGAAUGAUACAGGAGGGGAAACUGGCUGGAUGCUGUGACACAAAUAAAAACUUGAUUCUUGAA